rnacentral:rRNA from 1 species
AACUUUCAACAAGGGCCAUUGCGGGGUGCCGGCAUCGAUGAAGAACGCAGCGAAAUGCGAUAAGUAAUGUGAAUUGCAGAAUUCCGUGAAUCAUCGAAUCUUUGAACGCACAUUGCGCCCUCUGGUAUUCCGGGGGGCAUGCCUGUUCGAGCGUCA